GUCCACGCCCUAAACGAUGUCAACUGGUUGUUGGGGGAUUUAUUCUCUUAGUAACGAAGCUAACGCGUGAAGUUGACCGCCUGGGGAGUACGGUCGCAAGAUUAAAACUCAAAGGAAUUGACGGGGCCCGCACAAGCGGUGGAUGAUGUGGAUUAAUUCGAUGCAACGCGAAAAACCUUACCUACGCUUGACAUGUCCGAGAUCCCCGAGAGAUUGGGGAGUGCUCGAAAGAGAAUCGGAACACAGGUGCUGCAUGGCUGUCGU
rnacentral:rRNA from 1 species